AGAUAUCACAAUGAUUCACAGUUUGUUUAUCAUCAACGCUUCAAUUUUAGGAACUUGUGUUUGAUUGCUGUGGAUGGCAGACGUUUGUGGCUGUUCAAAAGACAUCAGGCCAUGGAAAAAUAAUAAGUUUUAUUAUCGACUGAAGAAAGUAAUUGUGGACAAGCCCAUUCUCCUGAAGACAUUCCUCUGUUGUGAA